AGAGAAAGGAAAAAAAGGAUAUGAUAAACGGGCUAAAAAAAAGAGAUAUGAUAAGUGGGUUUAGCCCACAUGCGUGGCUUGGUGCAACGUGAAUCAGAGAAUGAAAGGGAAAAAAACAUUAAAAAAAAAUGGCAUUUAGCCACGUGACCAGCCCAUAAAUAAAACACAAAGAAAAGGAGAGAGGAGCUCUGCUAGGGUUCCGCAUGCAGCCUCCCUCUGUGGAUAUCAAUAGUGUAGUGGAUCAGCCGUGCAGGAGGGAAGGAGAAGGCGACAAUGCAUGGCGGUUAGUAGCGUCACCGUCACCGGAAAUCGCUUCCGACGACGACACACGGUGGAGUUCACGGUGAUGCUUCCACGCGAACGUGACUGUCAAUACCGCCAGAAAUCGCUUCCGACAGCGACACGGUGGGGCUCGCGGUGUUUCAUCCACAUAGUGUCUCGUCAUAGUGACGUACGACCUUGGUGCGUGGGAGGAGAUUAAGGCAACCAUCGUAGUCGCCGGAAAUCGCCUCUAACGGUAGUGCAUGGCAGCAUUCACAAUGAUGUUGAAUAAAACAUAUCCUACAAGACCGAGAUUUUAGGGGAUUUGUCGGUGGCUGUGCAAUUUGGUUGCAAUUUUGGUGGCUGUGCAGUUUGGCUAUAGUGUUGGUGGCUGUGUUGUACAAGCAUGUUGUUCCUUCUAUUUACGUUCAUGGGUCUCAUUCUCCUCCAAAAUGAACAUGCCUUGUGUUGGUCCAUUAAAGGAAAUGUAUUGUAUGUUGUUUAUUGUUUCCCCUAAGUUGUGUUUCUUCUGCUACGUGGGUCUUCUAUUGACAUGUAACAAUAAGUAACCUCCUUGAUCAAAUAAGAGGUACCAUUUGGUGAAAUACAA